rnacentral:rRNA from 1 species
CAGCAGUCGCCACGGUAAUACAGAGGGUGCGAGCGUUAAUCGGAUUUACUGGGCGUAAAGCGUGCGUAGGCGGCUUCUUAAGUCGGAUGUGAAAUCCCUGAGCUUAACUUAGGAAUUGCAUUCGAUACUGGGAAGCUAGAGUAUGGGAGAGGAUGGUAGAAUUCCAGGUGUAGCGGUGAAAUGCGUAGAGAUCUGGAGGAAUACCGAUGGCGAAGGCAGCCAUCUGGCCUAAUACUGACGCUGAGGUACGAAAGCAUGGGGAGCAAACAGGAUUAGAUACCCCUGUAGUCCCUGUCUCUUAUAC